CUGUUUUUGUUCAGAGGCUAUUUUCAUUACCGAUACAGAGCAAUGAACUAAUACAAAGGUCGAGUUAUACAUUUUGAGUGCACGAAAACUAGAACCAUAUUAUUUAUAUAUUUACUUAUUUAUUUUGUUAUGUGUGGUUCUUAAUUUUUUUUUUUGCAAGAAUAUAUGUUGUUGAAGUGUAUCAACGUCUUGUGGAAUCAAAAUUUGGUAAUUUGGACAUGAAAAUGUUUAGAACGCUUAUUCUUGAAGUAUAUUAUGCUGGUAAUUUUUCCAAACAGCGUUGGUUCGGCUAAUAUGCUAAAACCUUUAAAUAUUGAAUCUUUGCAGAGUUGAUAAAUGAAAUCACGCUCUUCAUCUUGUUUUCUUAAUGAUGAUAGCUGUGGAGAAUAAGAUGCUUCUUUUGACUACUUCUUUGUUAAAACACUAUGGUUAUGUUUGGAAUUGCUUAUGUCAACAAUAGGAAGCUUGUUCUUUCAUGUGAAUUGAAAUAUAAAAGCAAUGAAAGCCAUUAAGGUUACUGAUAUUACUGUGAGGAUUUGGUCAUUCUUUUGGAAGAAUCUGUAUGAUUCUUAUUCUUGUAGGGAGCAUAAUUGAGGAAGUGUUGCUCCUCGCCCUGGAGCAUAAUUGAGCAAUCAAAGUCACUUGUUUGAGGCCGUUCUUUCGUUGGCUCACCACUAUGAAGAAGGAGCAGUUGACUCCUGCUGAGAUGUUGGCUUGACUGUUCUGGAAGAGAUCUUCCACGUCGAAGGAGAGGUUGCCUGCUGUGGAGUUGACUCAGAGGAUUUUGCUGGAGGAGUCGACUUUGUCUCCACGUUGCCCUAGUGAUCAGUGCAAGGCCCUACAGAAGCUUAACCUAUUUGAAUAUUUCGAUGGAAUUCAGUUCUAAUCCAUUAAGAAAUAUCGCCACGAAAUGGGCAAGAGGAUUCUCCUAGCCACCAACCAUUGAGAGCCUUGCCAACCGUUAUAACGACUGAUUGAAAUGCAAAGAGAUGAAAGGCAAUACUCAAGCUCUGCAAUAAAAGCCAAGGAACUAGUGAAGCUUCAUGCCAAUACUCUAAGAUUUGAACAUGCAAAAUUGGCUUACUACAAUAUUACGUUCUAGAUGUUCGGUUUCAUUCUCACGAAUGAAAACAUACGAAUGAACCAUGUGACGUGAGCUCCAAGGUGCCAACCUACAAUGGUGUUGAGAGAGUCUUCUGCCAGUCAAUGCAAAGACAUUUCGCAAUUCUCAGAUUUGUCAACGCAAUGGGAUGAUAAUCCUCAAUUUAAAUGGAAGGUCUUUCACAAAAGGAACAAAUUUCGAGAUAUAUCAAAUGAUCAAUGUUCCAAGAACUAUGAGGCUUUGCUCUAUGGCUGUACCUACAAAUCUUAGAUUGAUCAUCUUCGCUAAAUCUCUACGCAGUUCCUUGAGUUGUUUGUAUUUGCUGAGUUUCAACAGUCUAAUGACUCUGCAGUUUCUAGAUGGAACCAUAAAGUUUCUCGAGUCUAAGGUCUUGGUGUAGCCUAAUUAGUGGCUUAACAAUUAUUGCCUUACACAGAGGGCACAUGCACAUCAACUUUCGUCGAUUUUGUUGAUGGAACUUUGGUGAUUUUACACAUGUAAUUCGAUUACCCUACGAUUUUAAGUUAAUUAGAGAGUACAGUGAGAUUGAAAGUACACUCUUGUAAAUUUCUUAUUCAUCAUAG